AAAAUACCCCGAACUCGAAACUAUCAGUUCCAAAUUCGAGUUUUGUAGAAAUGUUUCCAUGAUGCGUCCUGUUUAUGGCACGUCUUAUUGUAAAAACCCCGCGGGAUCACAAAAUAUUAAUGAGCUUGCGCGCAGAAAUACAACCAUUUGGUUGAAUGCAUCCAUACUUAUUAUUGCCUUAGCGACACUUAUUAUUAUUAGGGCCUUAGCGACACUUUUCAAAGUACACAAUCAAUGGGGAAGUCUGAAAUCGGUCAGAACUCUUGACUAUCCACUGUAAAUAGAACCAAAUUUACACAAAUGAAUGAGUUCAUUUUAGUCCCGCUCCCCCAGCCGCCCCUUCUCCCACGUAGUUGAAAUCGGCUCUGUAAUCUCCUUUCUUGGGCCACCGUUCGCCUUCUCCAGCUACUCUUGGUUUCCGCUACAGAAGAGCAAGGUGACGUGCAUGUCCAAUUCGGCCUCCCCUCACAGAAAUGGUACGUUUCGCAAUUCGCAAUCUCCUGAAGGCCACCGCCGUGCUGGCUUGCGCAACACAUCUCAGCCCAAAUUGCCAGAAGGUAUUUUUUUGUAUGACUGUCUUCGGGAACGAUCAGUCAUUUGCAUACAACUGCUGCACCCCCAUUCCUGCAAGAUUCCCAAGACGUUAGUGAGAGUAAGUAAAAACGAGUUUUGCGAGGGCGCUCUUCAACAGAAAUAAACAACUAUCAAUCAUUGACGUCUUGGGCCAAGACUAAUCUUCGUGGUACACGUCCACUACCACUGUACUGACAGGGCCUAUUUCAAGCGCGCCAUCGCGCCAAUCACCAGCGCCGUUUGACCCCCUGCUUGGUACCCUGCUCAAUAUGUGCGAAAGUUGAUUGACGACCAGUUUUCCACGGUGGCGCGAGUAUCAGCAUGACAAUGCCUACCCACGAGAACGCAUGUGUGGCCACGUUGGCGGGUUAUUUAAAUGUUACUUCAUAGGAGGUGAGUUCAAAGCAGUAAUGGAGAGACGAGGAACACUCCUUUGUGACCGUUUUCUGGAUUGUUGCUCAUCUGAGAUGUAUUCUGACACUUUAUUGUACUCAGCAGACUGUCAUCUUUUGUAUUGGCCUUUAGUUGGACCGAAAGAGAACACUAUUUCCUUGGCAUCAGAGGCUCCUUUGGUACAAACUGUGCAUCUCUGGAUCAUGAACGACUAGGACAUACAAGAUGUGCGGCCCCAUCACCACCAACAAAAUGAAUACUCCCAACCAACACGGCGUUUUUCAACCAAUUAAGUUGUGCUUCUACUCAAGGCAGGUUGAAGAGAUUGUUUGGCUGGAAAAUUAGUUUCCCUAGUUUCAGUAGUUUGACAGAGAGAUGAGCAAGCUAGUCCCUGGAGGCCGUUCUCUGGAGUGUAACAAAUGAGAGAUAUCUUAUCACUGGUGACACUACUCAACAGUCAGAGCAGAAGCUACUCAUGGUACAUCCAGUUUCUUGAUGAUGGAGUUCCUGUGCUCAUUGUUGAGGUGAUUGGUACUUUGAUCUCUUGCUGUUGCCUUCUGGGUAAAAGCUGUAGCAUUGAUGAAAAGACAAGACCAAGCCCCUUGGAGACACUUUUCUGGAGUUUCGCACAUCACUGGCAACUGGCAUUACUGACAACUGGCAUUACUGACAACACAACUCACUCGGUAAG